GUGAUGGAAUAUUUAUUGAUAACAUGAAAUGCGCUUAGCAUAUCCUUUAAGCUCUAUCCAUGAAUGCAAAUCCUGCAGUUGCACUGGCCAAAGAAAAUUCUAUCGCACCAAUAUUGACGGACCUGGCCACUGAAAUGAAACAUGCAUGUAGCCUUGCAAUCAGGGUUGAUACAAAGCGUCCUCCGAUACCAAGAAAUCAAACAUUUCUCUGCGUACACAAACAUAGUAAAAAUAAAUACCAUAAGAGUGAGAGAUGGAUUGUAAUAACAAGAUUUUAUAUCAUUGAGUAAAAGUGAUAAGAUGUCAAAAGCCUCAAGGACAUACGCAGAAUGUGCAUCAAGAUCAUAUUAGAGAAAACUCUUGGUAGUACGAUUUUGAAAUCUUAUAAAGAUUUUUCAAGAUUCUUCAUUUGAAGUAACAUGUGCCCCGGGAAAUUUGGUUUAGAAAAACAAAAGAGAGAACACACCUGCAGACGUAGUGCUUCCGAACAACACAAGGAUCACCAAAAAACAAGCGGUGAUAGACCUUCCGUCCAUUCUUGAAUCACACGCUCCAACGAGAGCCAAAGGGUAAUCAAGCCUUUAAACAAAAUGCCAAAAGGAUAUGGAAUGGCGUGAAAUCUCGAAACUUCUAGACAAAGACAUAUAAAGUGAAUCCAUAAGAUAACAUUACCAAGUACAAAUGGGUUAUCUGUAAUGAAGCCAAAGUCGUGAUAUAUAAGUAAAGAAUAUAUGGAAUGAUAUCAUAUAUAUAGACUUUUAGAGGAAGGCAUAUAAAAG
rnacentral:lncRNA from 1 species